UACGAAGGGGGCUAGCGUUGCUCGGAAUCACUGGGCGUAAAGCGCACGUAGGCGGUUUGCUAAGUCAGGGGUGAAAUCCUGGAGCUCAACUCCAGAACUGCCUUUGAUACUGGCGGACUUGAGUCCGGGAGAGGUGAGUGGAACUGCGAGUGUAGAGGUGAAAUUCGUAGAUAUUCGCAAGAACACCAGUGGCGAAGGCGGCUCACUGGCCCGGUACUGACGCUGAGGUGCGAAAGCGUGGGGAGCAAACAGG
rnacentral:rRNA from 1 species